rnacentral:lncRNA from 1 species
GACUUACGGGCUGUCUGCUUGGUACGGGCCAUCUCUGCAAAGAUAUGAAUAAUUUCAGAAGACAAUUAAAAAAUAUAAAACUAGUUACAUUUUCUCAUUAACUACCAAACAUAACACGGAAAAGCCAGAUCUUAGAUAAUUACUGUAUAACUCCCAAAAGCCCUAAUCUUCAAACUAGAAAACUUCUAAGCCAAAAAAGAAAAUCAGAAUAGGAUUUAAAACAGAAGUCGAAGGUCCUAAAUGAACUCAGAACAGAAUCAGAGUGCCCUAAUUAUAAAUAAAUUCAACCUUACCUCCCCUAUUUCCCUAAUUCAACUUAAACUACAUGAAAUACAAAAACAAAUUAAAAGAAUCAGAAUUUACAAACCCUAAUUUACUAUAAAAAUAAACAAAUAAAUAAGAGCCAAGAGAGCGAGGGAAGGUUACUAACUCAGAAAUCUGAGACAAACGCUUUAUUAUCUUCUGGUUCAAAUGUUCGAAAAGGAUAGCAAUUAAGAGGUAUUUAUAGAAGGUUGGGGGGUUUGUUAAUGAAGUUGAUCCGACGGUUCGGAUAUACUAUCCGUGUGUUUCUUUUGUACGAGAUCUGACGGUAAAAACUGUCACAAGUUGUGUUUUCUGAGAGGAAAAGGACGGUUGGGAUUAGAUUAUAGAGGGAAGACACGGAUCGUGAUGGUUUGAUUGCUUGAUUCUUAUUGGUCGACUAAAAUUGCUUUUUAGCACAAAUGUUUUUAAGGUUGGAUUUACCACAGAAACUUGGAUUAAUUUAAUGUUCAAUAUAGAAGAAUUUGAGUUCAAGUAUCGUGUAUUAUCUUUAUAUUUAUGGGAUGGAAGGGGUUUUAGAUAGUUUUAAAUAUUGUGUAAAAAAAACAGAUAUGAUCAUAAUUUAUAAUGAGAUUAUUAAAAAAUAUACAUAGCAAUUUUGAUUUGGAUUAACAUUUACUUAUAAAUAGGUGAAUGCAUGGGUUAAAUUAUGAAAGUUGUUGUAAUUUGGUAUUAGUCCUUAAUAGAUUUAAGAAAGAAUUUUGAGUAGUUUGAACUUAGAUUUUAUUAUAAUUUUGAUAGUAAAAUUAUAAGAUUAUUUAAAUUUAUAAAAAUCAUAAUUUUUUUUGGCAAAAGGGAUUAAAAAACUCUUAAUGAAAAUUAAUAAAUCAAUUUACAUCUUAAAAAAAAUAUAUGCACAGAAUUGAAGUCCCAAAAGCAAAAUUAAAAAAAAAUAAAAAAUAAAACUCUUUCAUUACCAAUAAUUUUUGUUUAAAAGAGGGGAGAAAUAGACAUCAAAGCUCCUUUUGAUGUAACAUAUAAAUUUGUUUCGCUUCAUUCCAAACACAAUUCAAAUAUAUAUUAACAAAAAUGGUAAAAAAUUAUAAUAAUUAAUAGUAAAAAUAAAAUUUAAAAAUUAUUUUUAAAAAAGAGUAAGAAGUGUUUUGAAGAAAAUUUUUAUUUGUCCUUAAUAACAUGUGAUAUUUUGGCUUAUAAUUGACUAUUUUGACAAAUCUUUUCAUAGUUAACAAUAUUUAUGAUCUUUAAUCAUUUUUAACAUUCUUUAUAAUUUUAUACAAGAUUUUAAAUAUAUUACAAUAUUUUCAAUUAGGUCAAAUAAAUAUAAACAGAUAAAUAAUCAACUUGAGCCUUGAUUUUUGGGCAAAUUUUUUUUCUUAAGAUAUUAACUAAUUAAUUAUAUAGAAAUACUCGGAAAAGAAAAACAUCCUCUAUCUUGUCUAAUUUUAGAAAGGUUAGAAACGACAUAGGAAGGGUAUCAAAAAUCUACAAAUCCUUUUUCUAAUUAAAAUUAGUUUGACUAAAUAGUCUGUAGCUUGAUUUACUCUCUAGGAAUAUAAAGCAAGAACCACCGUUUUUCUUGUGCCAAAAUAUUUUGUAUAUAUCUAAUCAAAGUUGAAUUUGACGUGCUAGACUAUAGGAACGCUUCCUUAAUUAGCUUUAACAACCUCCAAAUUAUAAGAUUUGAUUAUUCCAUUAUCAAAGGCCUCUACAUUAGGUUAGCUUGAGACUAUCCAAAAUAUCCUAAAGUUCGGCAUCAAUGACUAAACACUUUUCUAAAUAACAGUUAUAGCCAAGACACCCAUUCCCAUUCUCAUCACAAAUUACUCCCCCGAAAACUACAUUACCUAAUUAAUUUCCUUCCAAGGCUCAUUGGGCCAAAUUUGUUUUUAGAAAUAAUGACCUAUUCACGUUACAAUUUAAUAAAAAAAAAUUUAAUUAACCAUUUAAUUACUCGUUUCUUUAAUUUUAGAAGUUUUUUUAUCAAAACAUCUUAAAAUGACUGAAAUUUUUAACACUCUGAAUCUCAACAUUUGAAAUUAAUUAAUUUUUAAUAUUUUGUAAUAUUAUUUAUUUUACAAUUUUUUAAAUAAUUCUAAGAAUUUUCAAUAUUUUAAAAAAUAACUAAUUGUUGAUGUUAUAGUUUCAACUUUAAUUUUCGAAUAAUUUGAAAAAAGAUACAAAUAUAAAUAUUUAAAAAUAAAAAAUUAAUUUGAAAGCUAAAAUGAUUUUUUUUCCAAAGUUGGCCUAAAUAAGUAAUUAUACAUUUUUUCUAAUAUCUCAAAUUAUUAAAUAAGAAGUAUCUUAGGUAAAUAUAGAAUCAACUUCAAAUUCUUGGAACCAAAAAUUUCACCUUAAAUGCCACUUGUAAGCACAAAACAUCUUGAGCCUCUUAACAAAAGCACCAAUAUCAUUUCUUUAUUUUACGCUGACCACAGUAAUAAGAUACGCUGAAAAUCACGCAUCCCACUUUUCCCAAGGACACAUUUUCAUUACCGACCUGGUUCAAUCGCUCUUUCCGGCAGGUUUACAAAUUUAAGCCCAUAAAUUUAAACAUGCCCCCUCCAAAAUAUUCUCUUCACGGGCUGAUUCCACAACACGACUAAACAAGAUUUGCUUUACAAUAUAUGAAUAAAUAUUCGAAGUCACUAGUUUUGAUCAGGAAGCACAUUUAAACAAACUAUACCAGACAUGAGUGUUCUUAACCAUUAAAAUAUCAGACAUCACACUCUCCACCAUAACCCCAUUUCAUCAUAACAUUGAACCUCAGCACUAAGAUAAACCUAUCUUUUAAUAUUGGCCUAAAAGAGGAAUAAAAUUAAACAUAAAAAAAAAUAGUACAAUACAUCUGCCUAACAACAAACAAUAGUUUCUCCAUUCUAAGUUAAGUGAUCAACACACUUGGAAAUUAAGCACGCUCGCCCCUGAUCCUACGAGCCAACUGGAUGUCCUUGGGCAUUAUAGUAACACGCUUGGCGUGGAUCGCACAC